ensembl:snoRNA
AUCCUUUUUGUGGUUCAUAAGUGUGGUGAUUGAAUGUACACACAUCUUUGUGAAAUGUGCCUCUCUGUAAACCUCGUUAUGACAUUGGCACAAUACCUGUCUGAAG